UACCCAAAAUAAAAAAAAUACAAAAAAAAAAAUACAAAAAAAAAAUACGGAAAGCGUGGAAUCGCAUCGAGCUGGAAUUUGCAUAUUUGCGAAGGAGCAUUGAACUCGUGUCAGAGUCGCUGGAUCGGGUGCGUCGUUGAGGCUCUAAAUUUGAUUAAUUCAAGAGGCGUUCGCCUGGGGCGUUUAAAGAAGUAAGCUCUUCAGUGCACCUGGAUUCUGAGUGAAAGAAUAGGUGUGUCGGUGUGCGUGUCAGUAGUGGGUGUGACUGCCAUGGCGCAGUUGGUAUUGGCCAAACGAGUUGGCCAUGUUGAUCCCCAACGAAGCGGCUAAAAGCCUUUUGUGCCCCCUGUCCGCGGUAUGAUGAACAGUGGAUACUGGAGGCCGGAAGAUGUUAAACAGCAGAUCUGGGCGGUAUUUCCCUAUUUUAUUACA